GGGGAUGUCGGGAAUCGACGUGAAGAUUGUACUUUUAUAAGCGGCUAGAACGGAGUCAUCCGUUAAAUACAAAACACAAACGCAGAAAAACUUUCUGACGUAAUGGCUGAGGGAAUUUUCGCGGAUAUGAAGUCCCCUAAAAAGGCUUUUGUUCCAGCGUUCCAAUUCGCUUAAGUGUUACCCUCUCCUAGCAAUGUCUUGAGUUAGGAGAUGAAAAUCAUAGACUAUGGUGUAAUGCGUUUUCGAUGAGCCAUUGCAUUGAGAAAAUUUCAUCGGCUUUUCUGCAAGGUUUGCGAGUUUACCUGCAGGAUAGAAGCAAAAACCUGAUAUUUCUAGCUAUAACGUUUAUAGGAUGCCUUUGCGGACGGGGGUUCAACUCCCCCCAUCUCCACCA
rnacentral:tmRNA from 1 species